UUCUCCUUCCUCACCUUCCUGCGACUAGUCAGAAGCUUGUGUAAAACAAAUGAAUCUGAAAUCUCAAUUCUUGUUUUAGGCUGGAAUUGAGGUUUUUCUUUCGAACCACUAUUUUAAUUUCUUCCCUUAUGACAUUUUUUGUUCCAGAGAUCAGAGAAACAAAUUGAUACAUCACUCGCACUUUGUAUAUCCUUUUGUAUAUUUUGGGUCAAAAAAUAUCGCGAUUAGUUGUAAAAUGUUAAUUCUAAAGUGGUUUCGAUCAAAUACAUUAAACUAUUGAUCAGUUAAUUUUCGGCCGUCAUAUGGUUAAUGGUUAUCACUAACCAAACAACCCAAAAAUGAAAAAUAAUUCGUGAUUCAAAUUUUCUCGGUUCAUUGCUUGUAUUUUUGUACAAUAAUAAACAAUCAGGAGAUCGAUAGGUUAAUCUAUUGGUAGUUUCCAUUCAAUUAGUGUAGCACUAAUAGUAUCCUGUAUCUUUAUAUCCCAGAUCAGCUUAAUUUUUCUCUAUUCUUAUCGAGCUUUUAAUUCCAAAUAUUUUUAUUUCCGUGAUACAAUACCGUUCGUGAACAAUCAGACAAAUAUCACAUCUAAAUGGCUUCAAUUAUUGACUAUUAUUUAAAUAAUAACUGUAUUGCUGAUGCUAUUGACCAUGCAUUGGAAAAUGAUAAAUUUGAUUCAAUAACCCAAUCUCUUGAUUGUUUAUCUGAAAAAAUUAGUAAAGAAGAUUUAGAUGAAUUGGUUUUUAAAAUUGGUUCUUAUCUACUAUCUUGUGCUGACUAUUUUACUGAACCAGACUAUGAUCAUGUAAGAUCCUUUGUUAUCAAAUUAUACUGUAAAUAUAAACUCUGGUUGGAAGCCUCUAUUGUUACUCUUUCAAAUAACUUUAACCAGAAUCUAACCGCUAUUGAAACAAUACUUUCUUCAUGUGUUAAUGAUAAUGAGCAAGCAAAAGCAAAACAAAUCGCCUGUCUUCUUAACCGCCAAAGCAUCUAUCUUCACAACUAUCCAAACCCUUUACUUAAAAGUCUUAUGACAACAAGUAAAACUCUAACUCUAUUCAAUUAUGUGGCUAAAGAAUUAGAUUGUCAAGCUCCUUUUGAUCUUCGAUCAGCAUUGCCUGACUUCUUAAUGUCUCCUUUUUCGUUUAGUUUCCAUGCAAGACUCAGUCGGUCAAAAAGUCGAACAUUCAUGUUACAUGUUGCCAGUGCAUUUGCCAAUGUGGCACAUGGAAAAGAUGGCCUUACUGAUGCCUUGUUGCGCCGAACACCUACAAUUUUCUUCAAUAAGUGUGGUGGUGCCGAAGGUGUCUCCGGAGUCAUUGGAUCACUUGGUUUAAUCAACUUAUGGAAUCCAGAAGUUACCUUGAAUUCAACGUUGAAUAGAUUUCAAUUAUAUACCCAACCUGAAUUGAAAGCUGGCUCUAUUUUGGCCUGCUCUUUGAGUAGAUCAAAUUACCGAGGUGAUGAUGAGUUUGAUGAUUUCCUUGACUGUCCAGAAUUUGAUUGCAUUGAGAAAGGAACUUGGGAUGAUCAGGCUUGCUGUAUAGUCGGCUUAGGGACUGCGUAUUCAGGAACAAACAACUCGGAAGCUCUAUUUAUUCUUCGUCGUUUGCUUCGAAAUGAUUCGGUUCCAUUAAUGGCCAAAGGUCUUUCUGCUCUGUCUAUUGGUUUGAUUAGUAUUUCAACGGCGAAUCAUAAGAUUGCUUCAAACCUAUUAGCAACUUUAUUACAAAUCGAUUCUCUCGUCAAUCAACCUGAAGAACUAGUAACGUGUUGGUUUAUUUCUCUCUCGAUUGGUCUCAUAUAUUUAAAUAGAAAGGGUAAACGCGGCGAAUUAACUGAACAAAUUAAUCAAUUGUCUUCCGAAAAGCUCAAGUCAAUAGUUAAUGUAACUUUAGAUUGUUGUUCCUUUUCUGGUUCUGGUGAUGUCUUACAAAUUCAAAAGAUGCUUCACCUAAUCUCCAAAAGAGAAAAUAAAACGCCUUCAAAUGUAAAAGCAAAUGACGCACCUUCAACCUCAAAGCAAGAUGAAUCAAUCAAGUCAACUCUGCCAUCUCAUUCAACUAAUAUACCCAAGUCUAAUAUACCAACAUUGAGAAAGAGGAAGGCACUCGAGAGACCAAGUCCAAUCAGGAAACAAUAUGGUGCAAAAUCAAGAAAGAAACUAAAAUCCGAUCACCAAGCACGUCCAUCUGUACUGAAUAAAGAAAAACCUGAUGAAAAAAACCGACGUAAAAUAGUUCGUCUCGAUGAAUUUAGCUCAAUUAAUGAUAUAAUGACAAAGAUUAAAUCAAAGAGAAAGGUUGGAAGUACCGUUGCAAUGGAACCAAACCGCGUUAGAAGUGCGCGAAGAUUUCGUCGUUACUCCCUCGACAGAAGAUCAAGUUUACCCACGACAUUGGUUCGUCCAUUGAAAGAUAGUUUAUCAGCGAGUUAUGAUACAAACAUCGAGUCAGACGAUGAUUCUGAUCAGCCAUCAACAAUGAAGUUGAUAGAAUCACUUGAAGUUCUGAACCAUUCUUUGGAUAAAAUAAUGAGCCAGAAAAAAGGUUCCAAUAAAGCUUACAUUACCUCUAUUAGUACAACACCUCCGAGAUUCAUUAUUGACUCAAUUGCUACCAUUGGAAUCAGCUUAAUUGCUCUGGGUGAAGAAGUUGGAUGCUCUAUGGCUAAAAGAAUACUUCAACAGAUUCUACUUAAUGGCAGUUUAUCUUCCAAGCGAAUGGUUCCGCUGGCUUUUGCCCUGCUUUCUUUAUCUAAUCCAGAUCCACAAAUUCUGGCAACCCUUGAGAAAUGUUCACGUUAUCAAAUGAUCUCAAUGUCAAUCAACUCAAUUUUCGCCAUUGGUCUUUGUGGCUCUGGUUCUCUUGAUCAAAAGCUGUCUAAAAUAAUCAACAAUCUAUUUGAAAAUUUUGAUUCUGGUCCUGGUCCUUGUUUGGAUGCCUUAAUUUUAACCAAGGGCCUAUUACAUUUGGGUAAAGGUUUAAUGACAUUAUCGCCUUACUCAUAUAGCAAUCAACUCAUCUUUCCUACUGGAUUAGCUUCGGUUUUAAUUACUAUUUUCUCCUGUCUUGAUGUUCGAUCAACUUUUCUUGGUAAACUUCACCAUUUAAUUUACUAUUUAACUCCUGCUAUCAGACCUCGAUUCAUUGUAACUUUAGACGAUAAAAAAUUGGAACCAAUUGAAGUACCAUUGGGAAUUGGUGAACCAUUGAACAUUCAUGAACAAGUGGGAAAAUUGAGAUUUGCAAAAACCACUGUUACCCAAAAUUCGCCGGUUAUUUUAAAAGAUCAGGAGAGUGCAGAAAUUUACAAUGACCAUUACAAACCAGCAACAAAGUUUAUAGAAGGAAUGGUUAUCGUCGAAAAAAUUGAUUAAAUUCGAGUGGACAGAAAAUUAUAUCAGCGUUGGUUUACUUGUAGCACUCAUUUUCCUUCUCAGUCCCUCCACUAAUGAUUUGCCCAUUGAAAUUUAGUUUUAAAACAUUGAUAGAUGGCAAAGAUUGAAAAAAUUCAUUGCUAUUAAAAAUUUUGCAAAUUUAAAUUUAAAUUUAAAUGCGAGAGUAAAAAUAAAUUUAUAUCCAAGUUAACCUGUGCAGUAAUGCCUUGGAUUGUUUAACUGAUUUCAUUGCGUGACCUCAAAUAAGUGAUAUAUUUUCAUCUAGUUUUAAUUAUUGUAGUCGAAUUGCCAGUUUUUGAGUCCUUAAAUCGAGGGUUUAAAGGAUUGUUUGAUAUUAAAUAUCAAGAAAAGUCAUUACCGAAUUAUCGACCGUCAUGUUGAAUUUUUCAUAACCAAAAAAGAGGCUAAGCUAUGGCCAAGACUAUGUCAAUCUACAAUUAAACCUCAUUGGCUCAAAGUU